GCAGCAGCUUCUGGCUCUGCGGAUGGAGCUUGAAACCAAGCACCACUCUGAGCUCACUGAGCAGCUCGCCUCCUUGGAGAGCAAGCAGCAGGCGCUCCUGGAGACUCACGUGGCCAAAAUGCAGGUAAAACACGAUGCCGAGAUUAGCGCUUUGGAGAAGAGACACCUGUCAAACCUGGAUGAGUUAGAAUCCUGUUACGUGGCCGACAUUCAGACCAUUCGGGAUGAGCACAAAAAGGCGUUGGAGCUCUUGCGAGCGGAGCUGGAGGAACAGCUACAGAAAAAGGAUUCUUGUCACAGAGAGAUUUUGACGCAGGAGUUGGAAAAGCUGAAACUCAAACACGCGGAGGAGCUUCAGUCCGUAAGGAAUAGUCUGAGAGUCAAAAUGAGUGCCCAGCACACAGAGAGCGGGAAAGGCCCGGCCGCUGACUUGCAAGGAGCACACCAGAAGGCCCCGGCCAUGGCUCUGCACAAUGAAGGGCACCAGCUGGAGGAGGAUGGGGAUGCAGCCUUGGGUGGUGCGGACACCGAGGACCUGCAGCACCACGCUGAGCCUCGGGAGCGGGAAGGCC
rnacentral:lncRNA from 1 species